UGAGGAAUAUUGGACAAUGGGCGCAAGCCUGAUCCAGCCAUGCCGCGUGCAGGAAGAAGCAUCUAUGGUGUGUAAACUGCUUUUGUACGGGAAGAAACACUCCUUCGUGAAGGAGCCUGACGGUACCGUAAGAAUAAGGAUCGGCUAACUCCGUGCCAGCAGCCGCGGUAAUACGGAGGAUCCAAGCGUUAUCCGGAAUCAUUGGGUUUAAAGAGUCCGUAGGCGGUUUAGUAAGUCAGUGGUGAAAGCCCAUCGCUCAACGAUGGAACGGCCAUUGAUACUGCUAGACUUGAAUUACAAGGAAGUAACUAGAAUAUGUAGUGUAGCGGUGAAAUGCUUAGAUAUUACAUGGAAUACCAAUUGCGAAGGCAGGUUACUACUUGUGGAUUGACGCUGAUGGACGAAAGCGUGGGGAGCGAACA
rnacentral:rRNA from 1 species